GGGGAUGCGGCGGCUCUGCGGGACCUUUCCGUAGGGCCUCUCGCAAGGGGACCAGAAAGUUCCCCCAGGCCCCAGAGAAGGGCCCUUGGGCUUUGUUGUCGAAGCUCCGAAGGACAGUUGGAAAAACUAUAGCAACUCAGGAUAUUCUAUGAUUCUAUUAAUUGGGGAAAGGAAGAAGUAGUGUGGAAGGAAAUAGCCAUAUAUAAGUGGAAAGUCAAGGAAGCCUGGAGCCCCAGUGAAGACUUGCAGCCCAAGGUGAUGAAGAGUGUUGGGUCAUUCUGAGCCCUGGCCUCUGGUGACGCUUCUGAGGCAUUGUCUCACGUUUGAUUUGGUAAGGAGGAAUUGGAUUUGUGGGCUUUGGAGAGUCAGUGGAGAAAGUAAGCUCAGCUGGUAAACACUGAGAGAAUUAAGAGUUACACGGGUUUCAGGAUUUGUAGCAACUUGACUAAUCUGUUUUCUUUGAGGAAAGGAAUGAGAAACACCCGAGGUCAGUAUCAGAAAAAAGGAUGACAUUCACACUUCAAUAACAGUAAGUUCAUGUUCACCAAACAAUCAGGCAAAAGGCGUAGUAUUUAAGGAUUUCAGGAUAAUGGAUAUGAAAACCUGAAGAUGUAGAGUUACAAUAAAACUAAUUUAGAUAACUUGUAGACAUUUACAAUGAUAAUUUAAUCUGGAGUGUUGUAAGCACAGAGUGUUUUGUGAAAUGCAGCUGAGAGGCAUAAAGUUUUGAGCUUCAGCCAAAGUUUGAGUAGUGGUGGAACAGGAUUUGUAACUAAAAGUCCUGAGAAAUGAAGGACAUAAAAGUGUAGCUGGUAAGAGGCCAGGAGUGAGUAUUACUCUGUUGAGGGGCAGGAUUAGUUAAUACCUGGAGUGCACAACGGUUGUAGAUGGCAACAGCUGAGGUGAAGAUAAUUGGCAAUAUAAGGGAGAGAGUUUUUGUGAGGCUGGGACUCAGAAAUAGGUUCCCUGUCAGUGAGUGAUUCAAACAGUGCUACAAAUUGCCACCCUAUUAGUGAUGUAACUAAUAGCUCUUUGAAUGAGAGAAAUAGAAGGGAGAAAAACACAUAAAUUUUUACAUUAAAAUAUGCCUUGCAUCAGUAAACGAAUAAUUUUUGCUGGCUUAUUGUAAGUUUGCUGGAGUAUUGUAAGUUUGUUUCUAUUAAGAAUUUUUAGUUAGAUAUAAUAAGAGUGUAUCAUUCCCUGCCUACUGUAUGUGUUGUGAGAGUUUCCUGGUUUUGAUUUCUUCUCUUUCCGUCACAUCCUAACUAUUCUUGUGCCUGAGCACCAUGUAGUCAUUGUCUGUCAGACAAGGUGCACUUAAUCAGUAUUCAGUCAGGACAGAUGUUAUGGCUGUUUUGUUCAUUCAGUUUUAAGAGAAUUUUUCAGAUAAUUUAGAGGGAAAAAAGUUAUCAUGCUUGAACUGAUACUGUUUUUUCCAUUUGCAGUGAACAUGGACAUACAAUUAGGAAGGCCAUUCCGCCAUCUACUUUCAGAGCUGACAAGAAGCUUCAGCAUUCAGGUCUAGCAGAAAAUUUUACCCAAGCAUUAUCGUUCUCCAAAUCUAAUUCCUGUCCAUCCGUUGUUAAAAAGGAAGUAAGAUGUUCCAAUGUACCUUCUGUGGCUCUCAUCUGUAUCCCAGCAGUCAUCAUGCCAUUUCCAAAGAUUUGUGUGCAUACUGGUAAGAGUGGAAGAUCUUGUUAAAGCCAACUCAUUCUUGCAUGCAGCUACAGGACUGAACAUUCUGUACUGCAAAAGAUCUGCAUGAGUGCCUAAAGCUCCACCCUUUAAAUCAUGUGAAAGAUUGUAUCACGGUGAGAUGCUGGAAGAAGUUGCCCAGAGAAGCUGUGGAUACCCUGAACUGUUUAGACCCACAGUGGAUGGGGCUCUGAGUAACUUGGUCUUAGUGGGAAGUGUGCCUGCCCAUGGCAGCAAAGUUGGACUAAGUCAUCUCUUAAGUUCCCUUCCAACCCAAACCCUUAUAUGGUUCUAUGCUCGUUUCAUCUUGAUUCUUGGCAAUUCUCAAUUUUCUACUAACUGAAAGAAAUAAAAAAAUCUAAAUAAGCAACUACUUAUCAAUAAAAACUAUAAAACUUUAUAGGGCUUAUAUGCCUUUAACUGUAUUACCCAAUCUCUAUUUUUUCAUAGAAUUAAGUGAGAAGGAAAAGAAAAAAACAUUGAAAAAACAAAGGCAUGAGAGAGGGUGAAAAUUACUCUGCUAAAGUCUGUGACUUCUCAAGUUAAAUGACAGCCUGAAAUCAAUGGGGUAACGCACAAGUGUGAGGGUAUACCUUACAUAACCUUUCUUCUUUGAGUGCGUGUUGAGACUUUCAGUGGCAAGAAAGUGUUCAGGGAACUCUAAGUGAGAAAAGUAUAAAUGUUUUCUGCUAACAGUAUGCUAUAUAUUAUAAUAGUGGCAGGAUCUGGUCCUGGAACAAUUAAAAUCUCAGAAUAUUAAAGAAAAAGAUCACAGUUCUUUGUUAUACAUGCUAAGUUUUCCUCCGUAUGACUUGAUAGCCCACUACUGAAGGAGGUAAAAAGGCUGAUAAUACAAGCCUCAUUUUACUCCUCCCAAGGUAUGAACUGUAUUUAACUGAUGUGCUUUUUUUCAUUUUCUAGCAUAUAAUUAAUUGGAAUUUGCACUCAUGAAAAAGUCUUACAAUGCAUAAGUAGCAACAUGUUAUUAGAGAAUGCUCACUAAUUAUUGGACUUCCUGUUUUUAAAGUCUGUAUCUGGGUCAUUUCUGGGUGCUUCAGUGCUUCACAUAACCAUUUCCUAUUGAAAAAGUAGAACUCAAAGCAUAUUCUAGAUCACAGGUAAAUCUAGCAGUGGCAGGUAAACAUGCAUAUUUAGAUUGUGCCAGCAUCAACUUAGGUCAAUGAAUGUUUACUCUUAAGUCUCCAGCUUCUAAGUAGUUGUAAUUGCAGAACUCUGCUGAUUUGAUACUUCUGUUCUCUGGAAGGAAGGUUGAUGCUGUAGAAUAGAAAAUAAACUUCAAGAACUUUCUUUUCUGUGAAAAAGUGUAGAAAGGAGCAGGCUGCCCAGAGAGGUUGUAGACAUACUCAAAAGCUGUCUGGACACAAGCCUAAGUAACAUGCUCUUAACUAAACCACCUCCAGUCAGUGGUCCAUUCCAACCUUACCCAUUUCGUGAAAAUAAAUGGUGUUUUUUCUCGUUGUGUUUUGCUUUACCUGAAUAAAGCUACUUGCAUUUUUGUCAUCUAGUGGAGAACUGAACCUGUAAUAUACACAAAGUUAGCAAUUAAGACCUAUGAACAGAAUUAUAUCCAAGUGAUUUAAGUCUCUAGAGCAAUAGAAGUCUUUAGGCACUACCCAGCAUGUAAAUAACCACAUCCGUCAAACUUGUAUGACAAAUGAAAGUAUUUGGUGUCCAACUAGGUUCAUGGGAAUUCUUCAAAUACAUCUGUAUUAAGAGUAAAAUUCCAUAGAUAUAUUUAAAAAAUAGGUAUAUGGUACAUAUAGUGGCAAAAUAGAAACAUCCCACAGAACUCAGGUUUUUUAAUCUUGCUCCAUUUUGUUCAUACAUAUUUUUUAACAUUGAAAAAUUAGAUGAAGGCUACUGCAUAGCUCUUCAUAUCUUCUUUUAUAGUAUUCGACUUCCAAAAGUUGCCAGAAUCUUUAGAUGAAGUUUUAGAAUAUAAAAGAAAAAGAAAUAACUAUAGUUUUCUGAACCUCUGCUGUGAAGAGGAAAGAGUAGGAGCAUCUUAUUUUCUGGAAUAAUUCACAAGAAACAGAUUUUAGAAAGCCACAAUGGAAAAUGCAUUCUAGAUAUGUAAGAGUUGUUCUGAAUAAUUUUACAAAUGUCACACUUCCUUGGAUUCUAGUUUAGGAUUUUUUCUUCUCUGUUAUGCUACAGAAGCAGCUUUUAACUGCUUAAUCCUACUUUAUUCCAGAUGCUUAAAAAUUUCUGUGAAAUUUUCUGCUUGGAACUUUUGGGUGCUUUAGACCUUGACUGUCAGAGUAGCUUCAGUUUGUGUAAUGUGGAUAUGCUUCUGUUAAAAGUUCAUUUAGCCAAAUGACCCUGAGGCUUUUUUCAUUGCCUUUCAUUCACCAUCUGCACUAUCACUGACAUUAAUAAAGUCAGUGUACUACCUUUCUUUAUUCUGACUUUUCACCUGCAGUCAAGAAGGGUCAUUUUAGACAAUAACAGUAACUCAUUUUAAUUCUGAUGUUUAAAAU